rnacentral:rRNA from 1 species
UACGUAGGGUGCAAGCGUUGUCCGGAAUCAUUGGGCGUAAAGCGCGCGUAGGCGGCCUCAUAAGUCCGUUGUGGAAGUCAAAGGCUCAACCUUUGAAAGCCGAUGGAUACUGUGAGGCUAGAGUCCGGAAGAGGCGAGUGGAAUUCCUGGUGUAGCGGUGGAAUGCGCAGAUAUCAGGAGGAACACCAAUAGCGAAGGCAGCUCGCUGGGACGGUACUGACGCUAAGGCGCGAAAGCGUGGGGAGCGAACAGG